GGAGUGGCUGGGACCGAGGCCCAGCAAGGACUCACAGCUGCCCCCAACUCACCCUGGGGCUUCCUUCCUCAGAUGUGGAAAAACCUGGAAUAUGCCCGGAGUUCACAAUCCACUGUCCCUUCACCAUGAUAUCGCUGUGCUGGCGCGAUAAAGGCUGCAAGGAGGACAUGAAGUGUUGUUUCUACAACUGCAGAAAGCAGUGCAUGACUCCGUGGCUGAGUCUGGAUUGAGGUGGAAAUCCCUUCUUACCCGGGCGGGAGAAGACACUGGUAGUACAGGCUCUGACUCAGAUAACUGGGCUCCAGUUCUUCCAUGUCCUCCUCAUCCCCCAGACUUCCUUUAUCAGAGUUCAACGCUUGUUACUAUGAAAACAACACAAAGGAAUAAAGUGUCAUAUGCCU